AUGGCCAUAUCAUGCUGAAACACUGGUUCUCGUACAAUCACUGAAGUUAAGCAAUGUUGAGCCUGGUUAGUAACUAGAUUGGUAACCACUUUGGAAUAUCAGAUGUUGUAAG